AUCAUGGCUCAGGAUGAACGCUGGCGGCGUGACUUAACACAUGCAAGUCGAACGGAGUUUUAACGGAAGUUUCGGAUAGGAAGUUAAGAACUUAGUGGCGGACGGGUGAGUAACGCGUGGGUAACCUGCCUCAUACAGGGGGAUAACAGUUAGGAAUGACUGCUAACACCGCAUAAUAUAGCGAAACCGCAUGAUUUUGCUAUCAAAUAUUUAUAGGUAUGAGAUGGGCCCGCGUCUGAUUAGCUAGUUGGUGGGGUAAAGCCUACCAAGGCGACGAUCAGUAGCCGGCUUGAGAGAGUGACCGGCCACAUUGGGACUGAGACACGGCCCAAACUCCUACGGGAGGCAGCAGUGGGGAAUAUUGGACAAUGGGGGAAACCCUGAUCCAGCGGAACCGCCGCGUGAGUGAAGAAGUAUUUCGGUAUGUAAAGCUCUAUCAGCAGGGAAGAUAAUGACAGUACCUGACUAAGAAGCCCCGGCUAACUACGUGCCAGCAGCCGC
rnacentral:rRNA from 1 species